CAAUUUCAAAUACAAGACCAGACAAAGCAGAACAACCAGGUCCACCAGUUAACCAAAGCAUGAGAGGAUCAUCUUUAGGAUUGUUCUCUGAUUCAUUGAAAUAGUAAAACACUUGCACAUCCUCAUUUUCUCCCACUCCCACAUACCUAAUCAACAAAUAUGAAUAUGAAGUUAUUUUAAUACCAUAUAUUAAAAGAACUAAAAACCAUGCACUAUAUACUCCAUGGUCUCAUAUAUAAGCAAAAAUUUAUUUUUCAGGUUUGUGAAUAUAUGCCUUGACAGGAAUAUUUUUGUUUUGAUGAUUGACAAAAGAGUCCGAGAAUGACAAGGAUGCAAAAAGCGGAAAAGAGGGUCAAGCUUUUCAAGACAUGAGUUAUAUACUUAUUAAGUUAUAAUUCAUAUAUUUUUAGGAUCCUUAUGUGAGUAGUAAAAAUAGCUCUCAUGAAAAUAUAACACACACUAAAAUUAUUUUUGCAUAAAUUGUCUUUGGAAAUUGCAUAUUUUCUUAUGGCUUUAAAAAUAUUUGUGAGCAUGAUUUUGAACAAAGUCAUAAUUAUAUUAUAGCUAAGGAAAUGCUUUUCAACGUGCUACUAAGCAGGAAGAUAUUUUUUUUCUGGCACACAAACAUUUAUGCAUUAACUGUCUCAGCAUGAUUUUCUUAUAUGGCAUUACUUGUUUCCUUUCUUAAAAGAGACCAUCGAUUUUACAAUAUGCAUAAUCGUUUUUGCAAAGAGAUCAAUUGGAUUAAUUUUUUUCUUUUUUCAUAAUAUGACCGUUGCAUAUCAUUCAUUUUGGCAUUAACCNNNNNNNNNNNNNNNNCCAGGAUAAUUUCUUUGUGUUUUUCUUCUUACCCUUUCAUCUCUUUUAUUUCUCGCUGCAAGUAAUUUUUUAUUUGGUUAAAAUAUUUUAAGUGCUUAUUUUUAAUCAAUUUUUGAGUACACAAUUCACCCGCCCUCUUGUGUCGUUUGGAGUCACUUGACUAACAAGGUUCACUGAAUAAAUGAUAUUUCUGAUAACGUUAUUCAAUGAACCUGAAAAAUGAAUUUUUGCUUAUAUAUAUGAGACCGGAGGGAGUAUAUAGCUAAGUAAAUAAAUUGAACUAACCCAGUUUCAAGUAGAAAAGGAAGGGGUCCUUGGAAUCCAGGAAGAAACUUUACUAUAGAGCCACAUGUUGCAACUUGAAAUGAAAUAUUUGAUAAUAAAACAAGAACAAAAACAAGAACAACAUUCCCAGAACUUAAACUAAACUUUGUCAUUCUUAAUGUUCACUUCCACUCUUUUUUCUUCCACAGUUUUUAAUGGUUGGAGACUCUAGUUCUUGAUGUUAUUCAUACUUUUGCCUUGUCAAAAAAUAAGCCAGUAAUUAUUUAAUAAGUUAAUACUUAAUAGCUAUGAAAAGUUGGAAACGCAAUGUUGCACAUGACAAACAGAAGUAAAUUAAGAAAAAUCCAAAAUGCUGAUACAUGUUUGUAGUAUUUCUCAUUUCUUUUUUGACUAAAAGAUAUGGUUGCAUGUUGCGAAAGUGGAAAUGAAGGUAACUAUAUUUUGUGACAUUCAUGUCCUUUAAAAUCUGAACUGUUUUUUAUAAAUAUUAAAAUCUGAACAUUGAAAAGUGGGGAGAAACUGCACUAUAAAAUGUUAUCUAUAGAACUGCAUAUUAAUUGCAAGUUCAAAUGAAGGAUCCGUUUACAAUAGAUAACAUUUUUGAUUAAAUCUCAUCAAAGUUGUAAUGUUGGAGCAAUUUUAGUCCUCAGACAUUCAAAAUAACAAAUUAGUCCCUAUUGUCAACAAAAUAAAAUGUUCCAUAUUAGUCCACACUGAAAGCCUUCUUAGAUACAUAUUCCUUCACAACUUAGAAUAUGAGUUUAUUUUUUGGUAAUUCCUACAAAGGCCUCUUAGAUAUCUACCUACUAAACAUGUCAAAACAUUCUUUAGGCCGAAACUCCGGAACUGUGUGUCCUCCACCCUGCAAAUUUGAUCAAUCAUAGAUAGAGUAAAGAAACUAAUAACGAUUAUUAGUGUAUGGUUAUGUAGAUAAGCAACUUAUUAAGCGCUUAUAACAUAAACGUUUAUCACAUAAGUGUGUAUGUAUAAGUGAGGAACAGGAGGCUUGCAUUCACAGUUGCAAAUGUUAUUCGAUUAGAGUUUCUCAUAGUGUAUUAUGUUGACAUGUUGAAUUUUCUUGUGCCAUUAUUAUUAUUAUUAUUAUUAUUAAUUAGUAUAAAAGUAGUGUUGUCCACAUAAAUUUUUUGAAUAUUGACAUGACUCAAAAACCAUUCCUCACAACCCUUGCUGAAAAAUGCAACACCUUAACCCAACUCAAGCAAUUACACGCUCACAUCCUCCGAUGUCGUAUCCAACACUCUCCCUACGCCCUCGCCCCACUCCUCUCCGUCGCAGCAACCUCAUUCUUCUCUUACGCUUGUUCCAUUUUCCACAACCUCACUCACACCAAUACUUUCAUUCACAACACAAUGAUCAGAGCCUACCUUCAAAACCAUUCCCCUGAAUCAGCACUUUCAUGCUACUCAACAAUGUUACAAAAUGGGAUUCCUGUUAAUAACUACACAUUCCCACCUUUAAUCAAAUCCUGUAUUGCACUUGUUUCUUCUUCGAAUUGGGUUUCCAGCAUUAUGAUCGGUCAUAUGGUACAUUGUCAUGUUGUUCAAUUCGGGCUAACCAAUGACCCUUAUGUCGUGAGUGCGUUUAUCGAGUUUUACACAGCAUUGCGCGAUGUGCGGACUGCCAGGGUAUUGUUUGAUAGAAUGACGAGAAAAGAUGUUGUUUUGUGGACUGCUAUGAUUGAUGGUUAUGGUAAAAUGGGGAAUGUUGAAAAUGCAAGAGAGAUGUUUGAUGAAAUGCCUGAGAGAAAUGCUGUGUCAUGGAGUGCUAUGAUGGCAGCGUAUUGUCGUGUUAGUGAGUUUAAGGAAGUGUUGGCUUUGUUUGUUGAGAUGCAGAAUAAAGGUGUGAAGCCUAAUGACUCUAUACUUGUUACCGUGCUUACUGCGUGCGCGCACCUGGGUGCGCUCAUGCAGGGAAUGUGGGUGCAUUCCUAUGCAAAACGUUUUGAGAGGGUAAGCUCGAAUCCCAUUUUAGCAACGGCUUUAGUUGACAUGUAUUCGAAAUGCGGAUGUGUGGGAUCGGCUUUAACUGUUUUUGAUGGUAUUUCUAAUAAGGAUGUUGGAGCUUGGAAUGCUAUGAUUUCUGGUGUUGCCUUGAAUGGUGAUGCAAGGAAAUCCUUGGAGUUGUUUCAACAAAUGGUUGUUUGUGGGAAAAAUCCUAAUGAGACUACCUUUGUGGCUGUCCUUACUGCAUGUACACACGCAAAGAUGGUUCGGGAAGGUCUUCGGUUAUUUGAAGAAAUGAGUGGUACUUAUGGGGUUGAACCCUGCGCAGAACAUUAUGCGUGUGUUGUGGACCUUUUGUCUAGAGCUGGAAUGGUUGAGGAGGCUGAGAGGUUUAUCGAGGAGAAGAUGGGUGGAUUUGCAGCAGGCGACGCUAAUGUGUGGGGUGCUAUACUUAACGCAUGUAGAAUUUAUAAAAAUAUUAAUGUUGGGAAUAGAGUGUGGAAAAAGCUUAUUGAUAUGGGAGUAGCUGAUUGUGGUACUCAUGUUCUUACAUACAACAUAUAUAGAGAUGCUGGGUGGGAUGCAGAGGCAAACAGAGUUAGGAGUAUGAUUUCAGAAGCAGGGAUGAAGAAGAAACCCGGAUGCAGCAUAAUAGAAGUGGGUAAUGAAGUUGAAGAGUUUCUAGCUGGUGAUCANNNNNNNNNNNNNNNNNNNNNNNNNNNNNNNGCUUGAUUCAAUUCUCAAGAUGGCGAAUUUAGAGCACUUCUAAUGGUAACCUCUUGCCUCUCACCUGUUUGGUGAUGGGAAAGUAGCAAGAAGCAAUUUAGCAUAUUUGGAUUUUCAAACACGGGUGUCAAGAACACUAAUUCGGAUGAAAAUUAUCUGCAUAAUAAACCAUUGAAAAGUGAUAUGAGCCUUUCAGCUCCCGGGCCGGGCCCAAGUUCAGUGAUAUUUCUAUCUAAUCGAAGACAGGAAAAGACAGAAAGUUGGCAUACAUCAAAGACAAUUCUGGGAAAGUUAUCCCAAGUUCCCAACCUCAUAGACAAUAUGCAGCAAAAUGUAGAGAAAGCAUCAUCCACGCAGUACCUGAUCAAAAUCAAGAAUCAAAGUUUAACUUUGAUUACCAGGAACUGGAAUUACCACUUGUGAGUUUCUUUCUCUAAAUUUCCCUAUAGUUCUGACUUUAUAAUGUGAUGUUCUUACUGAGGUAAACUUUGUAAAAUUAAAUUCCUAACUCAAAAUUCGAAGACCAUUCACAUAUUUUGGCCCUGAAAACAUGUGAACUGGGGCACUCUAUAGGUUGUGUGCCUAUUACAUUAUAUCUUGGUUUGUGAGAUAGUAGAAAUUGUCCACACCACUGGGUGUAACCAUUUUUUUUAAGUAAAUCAUAUUAAAGGGAGUAAAAAGUACUCCAAAGUCCAAAGCCAAAUUAAUAAAGUUAACCAUUUUGCAUGUUUUUAAAUAGCAUGAAACCGCGUUAAUCUGAAAGUUUGCUUGUUGUAAUGUUGCUAUAAUUCGAUGCAAUGCGCCAAGCCAAGUGAUACAUAUUUCUUUGCAAGUUAGAAGACAAAUUCAUUUUUGUUAAUUCCUACAAAGGCCUCUUAGAUAUCCACCUACUAAACAUGUCAAAACAUUCUUUAGGCCGGUACUCAGGAGCUGUGUGUCCUCCACCCUGAAAAUUUUAUCAGUCAUGGAUAAGCUACUCAAUUAAGCACUUAUAACAUAAACACUUGUCACAUAAGUGCUUAUGUAUAAACUAUUUCUAUUGAGGAAUAGGAGGCUUACCUUAACAGUUGCAAAUGUCAUCCUAUUAGAGUAAGUCCUAGUGUAUCUAUACAUACAAAAAGUUAAAACAAAUAUUAAUUCAACUUGGUCAUAACUCAUAAAUUUAGCAUAUAUAGUUAUAGUUAUGUGAAUACCCUGCAACUUGGUCAUUUGUAUGCCACUGUCUCCAAUCAUCAACAAUGGAAUAGUUUAAAGAUCUGAUCCAUGCUUGUGUCCCCAAGAAUGGAAUUAGCAUGUCAUGAUCGCCACUGUUAUUAGAAAUAUACAAAAUCUAUUUACCGUACGAAAUUAUGAAACUUGUUCUCAAAAGUGCUACCUUAUGCAAUAUAGAGAAAGAUUAUUGACCUGUAAAUCAGUGAACGAAUGCCUUUUCUACUGAGAUUUACGUGAUAAUCAUAGCUGUUAGGGAUAUCCCUCUUAUGAGGUAUAUCAUAGCUACAACGACGCCAUUUUCCAAUACUUCCCUGCAACACAAGCAACCAAGUUCAUAUAUUUAUAGUCGUAUAAUUAAACAUGAAAGAUUCCGUGCAAGAGUGCGCAAAUGUGGGGGGAAAAUGUUAUUAGAAGAUUUCCUGCAGAAUUGUGAAAUUUUGACAUGUUAUUAGAAGAAAAAUUUUCAUAGAAUAAUUGGAUAGACAGCUUGAAAAAAUUAUGACUUUCUCAUAUAUGAAUCAACGAUAUACCUUCCGUAUGUGCAGUGCUUUGCGAACAUUAUCAUCGUUGGCCCAAAAACCGCAAAGGAAAUAUGGAUAACUCUAAAAGUGGAAAGGAAACAAACAUCAAUUUAACAAAAAUAUUUUGAGAUUUAGUUUAGGUAGUAAAUGGUAUAGAUUAGAUUAUCAUUGCAUUACAUAAAUAUAUGGAAAAUAGGCCUUACUCGACAGCUUAAGGCGGGUAAUGCGAGAUUUGUACUGAGGAACUUGGAGGGNNNNNNNNNNNNNNNNNNNNNNNNNNNNNNUCCAUUAUCAUCAAGCCACUUACAAUCCGGGUCUAAAAUAUGCGCUGGAUUAAGUCCGGAUGUAGCCUAGAGAAGAAUGGUGUUCACUUUUAUGAAUAGAAGUUCUUUUCACAAAAUUUGAUAAAAAUAAAAUAAAUGGAUGCAUAUAUAUACCUCUUCGAAUGAACUGAUAUCUCUGGCGCAUAAAACAUUUCUGUUCUCUACACUUACGUAGUCUCCGUUACAGUUUUUUUGCAGUGACUGCAUAAUAUUAGAGAUUUAGUUGGUUAGCAUAAAUCUUAGUGCUUCAUAGGUUUUCAAUAUAAGAAUAGCUGCAUAUAUACGCAGAGGAACUAUAAUUCAAUUACGUCGUAUAGUUCAUCAGAUAUGAGUCCCAUUCCAUGCGCAAAGGGGAUUUUAUAGUUAUUUUCCUUUCCGGUUGUUGCAGCAUUCCCCGUCAGGUAUCCCUGACGUAAAAAAAAACAUUUCAUAAUUAAUCUCAAAGCAGUUCUAUAAUGACAUAAGCCAUCUGAAUUAAAAUGCUAACCUGGAGAUUUAUCCAUGGUUUGACACCUUUUUCAUUUCCUGCAAACAAAUAGUUAAACUUAAUUAAGAUUGCAACAUAUAGUAAAUCAAUAACAUAAUUGAGCCAUCAGUUUUAUACCUUCUGCAAUUUCUUGAACAAUUACCGGAACAGGAAUGCCAGCGUAUGAAUCACCGCCAAUGUAAACUUCAUUUGAUUGAAAUUUUGGAUGAUCAACUAACCACUACAAAUAUUUAUAAUAUAAUGUUCGUUAUUUUAUUGAUUGGCUGCUGCAAACAAAAUUUAAAAAAACAAAAAAACAUGAUUAUUGUGAAAUGGAAGCAAUAGAACUUCAGUGAAUAAUACCUUCCUGAAAAAUUGAAGAGCUUGUCGAACUAGUAUUGAGUCGCUUCGUUGAGAAGCUGAAUUUGUUCUGGCAUAACUGAAGCCUGUGGAAACAGGCAAAUCUACAAAUAUAAUGCUACAAACCUACCAACAAAAAUCAUUACUAAUACACAUGAUCUAAGGGGAUUUGAUAAAUUGAUGCAACCAAAAGUUGAUUUAUAACCCCAACCUUUGUCCAUGAAUGUGGCCUCAAGAUCAGAUUAGGCAAGCUACCAUUGUAUUCCUCCUUUAUAAUUUCAAGUGGACCUGCAAUGCAAGUAUGCAGCUUGUUAAUUUUCAGGUUUCUAAAUUGAUUAACGAAAGACACAUUUCAAGACUAAACUAACCAAUUAAAGACACAUGCAUUUCAUGACCAAAAUGACUAAAAAAACACCCAUUGAGAUAUGUUUUUGUAAUAUUGAUACAUUCAAAGGACUAUUGUGACAGGGCCUCAAACAUUCACUCCAAAAGUAAAGUUGAAAUUACCAAUUUAGUCAAAAAUGCAUAAUUUAGUCAAAUUUCACUUAUAUUUCACUCCAAAAGUAAAGUUGAAAUUACCAAUUUCAAAGAAAAGACCAGACAAAGCAGAGCAACCAGGUCCACCAGUUAGCCAAAGCAUGAGAGGAUCAUCUUUUGAAUUGUUCUCUGAUUCAAUGAAAUAGUAAAACACUUGCACAUCCUCAUUUUCUCCCACUCCCACAUAUCUAAUCAACAAAUAUGAAUAUGAAGUUAUUUUAAUAGCAUAUAUUAAAACCAUGAACUAUACAUAUGGCUAAGUAAAUUGAACUAACCCAGUUUCAAGCAGAAAAGGAAGGGUUCCUUGGAAUCCAGGAAGAAAUUUUACUAUAGAGGCACAUGUUGCAAGUUGAAAUGAAAUAUGUGAUAAUAAAACAAGAACCAAAAGAAGUUCCUUCCCAUAACAUGAACUGAACUUUUCCAUUUCUAAUGUUCACUUUCUCCCUCCUUUUUUCUUUAUGAGAAGCUAGUUCCUUAAAAAGUACAAAGGUGAUUUUGUAUGGUGCAAUUGAAACCAAGGUAAUAUUUAGUGACAAGUGUGUCAUUCGUGUUCUUUGAAGUCUGAAGUUUUUGAAAUGUGGUGACAAAUAGUGAAGAUGGUUGCAUGGUUAUUUAAGGAAGAGACAAUUGUUUUGUAUGAUGUACAAGAUUUUUUUUUAUUUUUUUUAUGAGAAUCGAAUCUAAGAAGAUCUCAUGCAUUUUACCCAAACGCCUCACCACUAGACCAAAUCUAGAUNNNNNNNNNNNNNNNNNNNNNNNNNNNNNNNNNNNNNNNNNUGAAAUCUAGAUAGGUUUUACUAUUAGAUUACUAACUUUGAUAAGUAAAAUUGCACUUUUUGACCACAUACAUUAAAUAUACAAAUAUACAGUGAGUAUAAAAAGUGCAAUUUUGCUAUAAAAUGUCAUGGAGGGAGUAACUAACUAGAAUUAAUAAUUUUAAGUUCAAUUGCAUUUUUGUUCUUCAAGUUUUACAAAUAAGUGAUUUUGACCUCCUAGAUUAAAAUUGAGUGAUUUUGAAACCCUCCAUAUCCCUUUCUGAUUUUGGAAAGAAAAAAAAAAGUAAUGAAAUUGGAAGUGAGGGAAUCCAAUUCAACCUUUGUUGUUGAUAUAAAUAGUUGGAGAUUGUUUUUGGCCUCUGAGGGUUCACUUGAAUGGGAAUUCUUUAUCAAUGGGGGCUUUUUGGUCCCUCAAACAUGUGAAUUGGGGCACUCUAUUUGCCAUAUUGGUUGUGUGUGCCUAUUUUACAUUACAUCUUGAUUUGUGAGAUAGUUGAAAUUGCCCUCACCAUUCAUGUAAACAUUUUUUUUUAAGCAAAUGAUAUUAAAGGGAGUAAAAGGUACUCCAAAUCUAAAUUAAUAAAGUUAACCAUUUUGCAUGUUUUUGAAAUAUGGUUAACAUGAAAGUUAAAAUUGCAGCACGAAACCACGUUAACAUGAAAGUUUGCUUUCGUAGCUUCUCCAUUUGCAAAAUUGCAGCACAAAUAAAAGAAAAAAAAACUUGUACAAUCCCAUCGAUUAAUUUAUUUAUGGUCCACCCUUACAUUUGAAAUAUUUUUUGUUUUAAUGUUGCUAUAAUUCUAUGCAAUGUGCCAAGCCAAGUGACACAUAUUUCUUUGCAAAUUUAAUAGAUAAAUUUAUUUUUGGUUAUUCCUACAAAGGCCUCUUAGAUAUCCACCUACUAAACAUGUCAAAACAUUCUUUAGGGCGAAACUCCGGGGCCGUGUGUCCUCCACCCUGCAAAUUUGAUCAAUCAUAGAUAGAGUAAACAAAUUAGUAAUGUUCUUUAGUGCAUGAUUAUGUCCUUGUUUAGAUAAACGACUUAUUUAAGGUACCUUUAUAGUAGCAAAUGUCAUCCGAUUAGAGUAAGUCCUUGUGUAUCUAUAUUUGCACAAAAUCAAAACAAAUAUUAAUUCAACUUGGUUGUAGUGUGUGUGCGGCUGUGCGAGCGCAUAUAACUAUAAUAAUUAGAAAUUUUGAAUACCCUGCAACUUGGUCAUUUGUAUGCCACUGUCUCCAAUCAUCAACAAUGGAGUAGUUCAAAGAUCUUAUCCAAGCUUGUGUUGAUAAGAAUGGAACCGACAUGUCAUGAUCUCCGCUGUUAUAAGAAAUUUAUAAAUUAAACUUAGUUUAUAUCAAUGAUAUCUUAUGCAAUAUAUUGAAUAAAAAGAAAAGAUUAUUGACCUGUAAAUUAGUGAACGAAUCCCUUUUCUACUGAGAUUUACAUGAUAAUCAAAGGUGUUAUGGAUAUCUGCCUUAUUAGGUAUAUUAUAGGUACAACGAUGCCAUUUCCCGAUACUUCCCUACAACACAUUCAACCAAACACUUGUGUCAUGUAAUAGCAUAACUAGUAAUGACCUUCGUGCAAUCUCGCACGAAUGUAUCCACAAUAUACCUUACGUAUGUGCAGUGCUUUGCGAACAUUAUCAUCGUUGGCCCAAAAGCCGCAAAGGAAAUAUGGAUAACUCUAAAAGUGGAAAAGAAACAAACAUAGAGUUAACAAAUGGUAUAUAUUUUAUGAAUAUCAUUACAUAAAUAUAUGGAAAAGAAGCAUUACUCGACAAUAUAAGGGCGGCAAUUUGAGAUUUUUAGUGAGGAACUUGGAGGGAUAUUUCUUAAUUAGAGAUCUCCUUGGAGAAAUUUCAGUAUCAUCAAGCCACUCACAUACUGGAUCUAAAAUAUGUGCUGAAUUAAGUCCUGAUGUAGCCUGUGAAAAAUAGAAGAAUGUUGUUCACUUUUGUGACUAGAAAUUCAACUCGCGAAAUUUGACAAAAAUAUAAUCGAUGUAUACCUCGUUGAAUGAACUCAUAUCUCUGGAACAUAAAACAUUUCUGGUCUCUACAUUCGCAUAGUCUCCGUUACAAUUUUUUUGCAGUGACUACAAAAUAGCAGAUAUACUUUAUAGUUCAAUAUAAGAAUAGAUACAUAUAUACGGAGGAAUUAUAAUUCAAUUACUUCGUAUAGUUCAUCGGAUAUGAGUGCCAUUCCAUGAGCAAAGGGGAUUUUAUAGUUUAUUUCCUGUUCAGUUGUUACAGGAUUCCCCAACAAGUAUCCCUGAAGAAAAUAACAUUUCAUAAUUAAUCUUGAAGAUGUUAUAUAUAGUUAAUAUUUUUAUUACAUAUCAUGCACAAUCUGUUUGAUCAAAACAUCAAAGUUAAUCAAACAGUCCGUGUCUAGUGUCUGUAUAUGUCUCGGUACUUUAUAUGUUUAGACUGUCAUUUUUCGCGAGAGUUAUACUUUAAGAUGCUAACCUGAAGAUUUAUCCAUGGCUGGACUCCUUUUUUAUUUCCUGCAAACAAAUGAAUUUUUGAAUAAUUAAACUUAAUUAAAGUUGCAGCAUAAUGGUACUACAAUACAUCAUUGAACCAUGAGUUUUGUACCUUGUGCAAUUUCUUGAACAAUUGCCGGAACAGUAAUGCCAGAGUAUGAAUCACCGCCAAUGUAAACUUCAUUUGAUUGAAAUUUUGGAUGAUCAACCAACCACUACAAAAAUUUUGACCGAUUCACAUAAUUGCAACUAUAAGUGAUUAUUCUGAAAUGAAAGCAAUGAUAAAAUACUUGGUGAAUACCUUUCUGAGAAAUUGAUGAACUUGGUGAACUAGUAUUGUAUCGCUUCGCUGAGAACCAGUUUCUGUUGUGGCAUAAGUGAAGCCUGUGAAAACAGGCAAAUCUACAAAUAUAAUGUUACUCACCUACAAUGAAAAAUCAUUAUAUAAAUACAUAAUUUGAAGGUGUUUGAUUAAAUUGAUACAAUAAAUCCAGAAAAAAUUAAAAUAAGCUAUGAAAAAUGUGGACUAUAACAUCAACCUUUGUCCAUGAAUGUGGUUUUAAGAUGAGAUUAGGUAGGCUACCAUUGUACUCCUCUUUUAUAAAUUCAAGUGGACCUACAUGCAAUUUCUCUCAAGUAUAAGUUGUUUUGCAUACGGAAUAUAAUCAAACACAGUAUAACUGGAGUUGUCAUGUUCCGUCCUUUAUUUUUUAAGGGAUCAAUCGUACGCUUCAAAGACUUGUUUUAAGACUAUCCAAAAUCAAAGUUGAAAUUACCAAUUUCAAAGACAAGGCCAGACAAAGCAGAGCAGCCAGGUCCACCAGUUAACCAAAGCAUGAGAGGAUCAUCUUUAGGAUUGUUCUCUGAUUCAAUGAAAUAAUAAAACACUUGCACAUCCUCAUUUUCUCCCACUCCCACAUACCUAAUCAACAAAUAUGAAUAUGAAAGUAUCUUAAUACCAUAUAUUAAAAGAACUUAAAAACCAUGAUCUAUAUACUCCGUUCUCAUGUAUAAGUAAAGAUUCCUUUUUGAGGUUAUGAAUUAUUUGCUCCCUCUGGUCUCAUAUAUAAGUAANNNNNNNNNNNNNNNNNNNNNNNNNNNNNNNNNNNNNNNNNNNNNNNNNNNNNNNNNNNNNNNNNNNNNNNNNNNNNNNNNNNNNNNNNNNNNNNNNNNNNNNNNNNNNNNNNNNNNNNNNNNNNNNNNNNNNNNNNNNNNNNNNNNNNNNNNNNNNNNNNNNNNNNNNNNNNNNNNNNNNNNNNNNNNNNNNNNNNNNNNNNNNNNNNNNNNNNNNNNNNNNNNNNNNNNNNNNNNNNNNNNNNNNNNNNNNNNNNNNNNNNNNNNNNNNNNNNNNNNNNNNNNNNNNNNNNNNNNNNNNNNNNNNNNNNNNNNNNNNCUUAAAAACCAUGAUCUAUAUACUCCGUUCAUAUAAGUAAAGAUUCCUUUUUGAGGUUAUGAAUUAUUUGCUCCCUCCGGUCUCAUAUAUAAGUAAAGAUUUAUUUUUCAGGUUAA
rnacentral:lncRNA from 1 species